AGCUGUUUUGGGACUACAAUUCCCAUCAUCCCUGACCAGUGGUCCUGUUAGCUAGGGAUGAUGGGAGUUGUAGUCCCAAAACAGCU